rnacentral:lncRNA from 1 species
UUAAUUCAAGAGAAGUUGUUAGGUAGAGAAAAUAGAAGAGACAAACCGAAAAUUGAGGUCCAAAAGUAGGGAAAACUCCAUAGCCUUGAUCCAUUAAGUAAGGAUAUUUUGCACAAACCUACAGUUUUUGAGUCCAAAAAGGUUAUUAUUAUUAACAAAGGUAAGAAGGUGAGAUGAGCCGGUUUAUGGAAGAUUACCAUGGGCUGACCAAGUCCAUGUUCCGACUGAAGUGAUUGCUGCCUAGAGAUGAUUGCCUUAAGCAUUGGUUC